rnacentral:rRNA from 1 species
UACGUAGGCAGCAAGCGUUGUUCGGAGUUACUGGGCGUAAAGGGUGCGUAGGCGGCCUUGUAAGUAUGGUGUGAAAUCUCCCGGCUUAGCUGGGAGGGUGCGCUAUAGACUGCGGGGCUCGAGUGUGGGAGAGGAAAGUGGAAUUCCUGGUGUAGCGGUGAAAUGCGUAGAUAUCAGGAGGAACACCGGUGGUGUAAACGGCUUUCUGGACCAUAACUGACGCUGAGGCACGAAAGCGUGGGUAGCAAACAGG